GGAGAGGUGCUCGAGUGGCUAAUGAGGGCAGACUGUAAAUCUGCUGGCUAACGCCUACGGUGGUUCGAAUCCACUCCUCUCCA
rnacentral:tRNA from 1 species